UGUGGUUGCUGGAGCUUUUGUUCACUUC
rnacentral:piRNA from 1 species